rnacentral:lncRNA from 1 species
UGGAGGUAAUUGUAUUUUUGCUGAAUUUUAAUCUCCUUUUUGUUUCAAGAGUAUAUGAGGUAUUCUUUUCCUUUCCAAGACUGAUUUCUCUAUGUGUAUAUUUGAUUCAAUUUCUGUCAUUCCUUCUAGGUCCUUGAUCCAACAACGAUUCCUUUCUCUGUAUCAACAGAUUCUUACUUUCUAUAAAUCACCUUCCACUUGACUUAGAACUGUUAUUCACAUUCAGUAAAUUUUUAUUGCAUGCUGCCUGUGUUUCCAGCAUAUAUUUUAAUUUCUUCCUUUAUAAAGGAUUUUUCUUUCUUCCUUGCCUACUCUCUUAUUUCCUCUUUACUACAAACUUUUUAAAGAAUCUUUUCACACUGAUAUUUAAUAAGAAUUAUAACAACAAGUAGUAAUAAAGAUAGCCACUAAUAUUUAUUAGAUGAUUACUGUGGACCAGACACUUUUCUAAGUACACUAUAUAUAUUAACUAUGUAGCAGACAGUUCACAAAUUAAUUAAAAAUAUAUAUAUUAGGAUCUGUUUCUGGGCUAUUUAUUGUUAUAUUGAUCUGUAUUAUCUACUCUUCUGCCAAUAUGCUAUCUGGCAGAAGAGUAUUUAUAAUAACUUUAUAAAAUGCAUUUUAUCUUCCAUUACUUAGUGAAAUUCCCUCUCUUUGGGUUCUAGAACACCAUUUUCUCUGCCUCUCCUCCAACUUUGAUUCAUCUUUAUCAGUGUCCUUCACUGACCUUUCUUCUCCGCCUCCUUCAUGUGAUUCUAUUUAAAGCCCUUUACAGCCUGCCUCCAACUUGCUUUUCCAGCUGCAGUUCCUGAUACUGGUUUUUCUACAUGCUUCAGCCAAAGACAUAUACUCUUUGAUCCCUGAGAACACUAUUUCCUCAGUGUCUUUGCACAUGGAGUUCACUUCUCUGCUUGUGAAGUCUAUGAAUAUUGCAUGGCUGAUUUGUCACAAUUUUAAGUCUUCAACAUCUGGAGUGUUCUGGCAAGAAUUUGUAGGUAAGGACAAACCAAGGUGGGGAAAAAUUUUUGAAUCAUCAGAUUACCAUAGCACAACCUUGGAGAAUAAAACUCUUUUGCUCUGAAGCUCAUCUAAUAACCUGAUAUCUCUCAAAUGAAUCUAUCCAAUGACAGGGAAUACCCCAUGUUAAACAGCUGAUUCUUGUUCUGAAUACGUUUAUUAUCUUGUAGUUAGUAAAUAAAUCAAUUGGACCCUUAAGACUUUGCUUAGAGUGAAUCUGUCUCCCAGAGCUUGAUCACAUUUGAAUGUACAGACAAAAACUAACAAAAGUGAGAUCCAUCUGGGGAUGAGGUAUUGGGAUUCUGUAAGAUCCUGCCUGAAAC